UAUAAGUACGGUUUUAAGUGUAAGUUACUCUGUGUAAUUUGCUUAGAGUUUGUUUGUAGAGUCACUUAUACUUAAAUAUAGUUUAAAUGUAAAAAGCUUAAAGAUAAAAUUGUAUAGUAACUAUUAACUAUUGUCACAUGUGGUAUUGUUUGUUUUAGGACACACUUGCAGGCCACUGGAUGCUGACUACUGAAGAUAUUAAUCCAGCCAAAGAAGAAGCGUCAUCUAAAAUGCCAGGAUACAGAAGAAACAGGUUGCAGUGAACCCACAUGUUGCCGCUCUUCUAAACACAAUGAAAUCAAUGAAAAUUCUAGCUACUUGCUGUGCUCUGAUCAAGAUCUGGACCGUUUUACAGACCCACUUGGGCUUUGUUUUGCGAUGUUGUUACAUGAUGGUUAU